rnacentral:misc_RNA from 1 species
UCCUUUUAAGGACAAGGAAGGCUAUCUUCGGAUAGCUUGACUAGGUUGAGCAAGCAUUUUUGCGCUGCAUUCUAUUUCUUUUGCAUUGUUAAGAUUUGGUUUUCAAUACAUUCAGUAUUACGAUCAAGUAUGUUAUGUAAAUAAUCAUGGUAACAAGUAUAUUUUCACAUAUAAUAAUAGACGUUUAAGAAUAUCUGUCUUUGGUGAAGUUAUCUUGCAUGGAUCAAAAAUUUACAGAC